GAGAACGGCGGGGCCCUGCCCGCCAGCCCCCCCGCGCCCGCGUACCUUCCGCAUGGCAGCUGGAGGAGAGGAUGGCGCUGGGCGGCCGGAAGAUGUACGGCAGAUAACGCGAGAAGCAUUUCAUCUUCCAAAACGCAUUUCUCAGAAACAGUUGCUGCUGAAGGCAUUCAUGAAGAGUUUUUGACAACAAGAAUGUGAAGUUGGAUCUCUGAACUCUUCAAAAUACGAAGCACCUACAAAACAAAAGCCAGUUGCAUAUAAGGUGUCCAAGACAUUGAGAAAAUUCAUCUGGAACUCCUGAUUUCCACUAUUAAUCUCUGACCGCUGUGACAUGGCCUCCUGUCUUCUCUACUAGUUGAGUCCAGACAGACACAUGAAAAGUGUCCUGAAUAACAGAAUGAGCAUCUUCUUAGUUUGCAUUCAAGCAGUGCUUUAUGGUUGGGUGUAAGCUUGCUUCGAAUUUCACUCUGGGCCUAGAAAUAAUGUGAGAGCUGGUUAAAGACCAGGACUUGUUCCUGUCCUCACCACUGUAGUUCUCACGUUUACACCAGGGACCAUUUUUUCCCUCUUUGCGCUGGAAAUGCUGAGAGCAGCAGACGAGGUUUCUUGGCCUGUGGUACCUCCUGACUCCUGAAGCACAAAUCCUGCAAUAUUACAGAAACCAGGUUGGAAAAAAAGCCUUUAGUAACAGAGUUCACAUUUGAUACGUUGGGGAGGAUUGAUUUAAAGAAUGCUGCUGUGUUUUUUAAGUUUUAUUGCAGACUUCACUUCUGCAAAUUCUCCAUGGACCAUGUAGACAUCCCCUGUAAUUCUUGGACUUGCUUCUUUCAAAGCACCAGCUCUGGCUGUAAGGGUAGGAUUUCACUAAUGAAGUGCACAUCUUGUGAUAUUGAUGUAUAAAGAAAGCUUGCCUGCAAGCGUGGUCCCUCUCUUCCCCGCAUGCAAAUUAAAUGCCUUUCUAUUCUAAGAAUUCGAAGAACUCUUUUAAAAAUCAAAUAUGCCUGGGAAAAAGCUGCACGUGGAUAUUGAUUAGUUUUAUGAUGUCUGCUCUAAUUGCAUUGCAUUCAGUCCUGGAACAAGGUGAGCCCUCAACGAUGUAUAGGGGUGGGCGAGCAUCUGUUUGGGUUGCACGUGGCAGUCUGUUGAUGGGAUUGGGUAAUGUACACCAGUGGGUUCCAGCAAAGCAAUUUUGCAAUCUCUUUACCAGGAGUAGUAUUAUGGGAGGAAUAUGGAGCUUCAGUUAACAUUACCAUUAAUAUAUAAAAGCUUUUUAUGCAGUAGUCUUCUCUGUAGAGUAUGGCCUCCCUCUGGAGAAACUUUACAUUCUGAAAUCCUGUUCUGCUUUAAUUUCUAGUGACCCCUAGCUGAAGAGUCCUGGCACUUCACACCCUGCAGCUCUUACUCAGCCUGUUCUCCAAGCUGGAGCUCAGACCCUAACAGCAAUCUUGCAGGGACUGGUGUAUUGAAAAAUUCUCUUUUAAUUCAGGCUCUGGGAUACUGUGGUUUGCGUUAUGAAAAAGUUAUGCGAGAUGUUUUUGGACAAGCCACCCAACAGCACGUGUCAGGAGGGGGUGCAGUGACUCUGUGAGGUCCCAGGAGUCUGUGAAUUGGGUAAGUCACACACAGGCUUCCCUUUUUUUGAGCUGGAUCUGUUUGGUAGCAGCGAUUUUAAAAUCACAGUACUUUUUAAACCAAAAUGAGCCCGUGAUACUGGCAGGGUAUCUGCAAUUCUGCAUUGCUUUAGAUGUUUUGUGCUGGUCAAUGGGUGCAACCUUCGCUCCCCCGCAGAACGCCUUCUUGCUGCUUUGCUGGAGUUUGUGCAGGGAUGUGUCAGUGGCAGAACUGACUGUUCUCCUUUCCCUACAGCUCUGCUAGUUACU